AUCCUAAAUCCUGGCAGAGCUUUAUGGAGCCCAGUUCUGGCAGGCUCCCAGGACUCGAAGCCACCAGACCGCACAUGGAACCCAGGGCCACGUGUUCAGCUGCUGCACCCUUGGUGAAGAGACCGUUCCGUGUUCUUGUUGGUGUCACUGGGAGUGUUGCAGCCCUGAAGUUGCCUCUUCUGGUGUCAAGGCUUUUGGACAUUCCUGGCCUGGAAGUAGCAGUGGUCACAACUGAGAGAGCCAAACAUUUCUACAGUCCCCAGGAUGUUCCUGUCACCCUCUACAGCGACGCUGAUGAAUGGGAGGUGUGGAAGUGCCGAUCCGACCCAGUUCUCCACAUUGACCUGCGGAGGUGGGCAGACCUCAUGCUGGUAUCUCCUCUCGAUGCCAACACGCUGGGAAAGGUGGCCAGUGGCAUCUGUGACAACUUGCUUACCUGUGUCAUCCGGGCCUGGGACCACAGCAAGCCCCUGCUCUUCUGCCCGGCGAUGAACACCGCCAUGUGGGAGCACCCCAUCACGGAGCAGCAGGUGGGCCAGCUCAAGGCCUUCGGCUAUGUCGAGAUCCCCUGUGUGGCCAAGAAGCUGGUCUGUGGAGACCAAGGUCAUUGUGAAAGAAGCUCUGCUCUAGGCAGUUACAGCCAAGAACACAGGGUUCUCUCUAUCCCCAGGGCCCAGUUGAGAGCUAAGGUACCUCCCUGAGAGUGGCAGACCACCAGCAUUUCUCAUCUCCCUCACCUCUGUGUUGCAGAAGCUGUAUUCCAGAGUUUCAAAAGGGUGGGGUUGCUGACAAGAUUAGGGUGUGUGCAGGGUCUCAGGUGGUCAGUCUCCUAUCUUGAUGAGCUUCUCUGGUCCCUUUAAUCUUGCCUCAGAUGGUUUUCUGGCUGCUCCUCCCUUGAUUUGCAAUCUGCCCUUUGGAACUCAAGGAAGGUCAUGGAGGCUGGAGUCUUGCCUACAAGAAAUGGGGGACAAAAAUUCCUACGUACUUGGGAGCCCCAUAGGGCCCUGCUCAGUUUCAUUCGUAUCUCAUCAAAUAGAUAAUAUCAAUAAAGAGAAAGACAUUAAGAUACAAUUGGAAAUUCUGAAGUUGAAAAAUAUAAGAAUUUAAAAGAAAAGUCCAAUAGAUGGACUCAGCAGUAGACUUGAGCUGGCAGAAGAAAGAAUCGGCAAACUUGAAGACAGGUUGAUAGCGAAUAUGUAAUAUGAAGAACAGAGAGAAAAAAGAAUGAAGAAAAAAGAACAGAGCUUUAGAGAAAAGUGAGAUACUGUUAAGUGUACCAAUAUAAGCAUAAUAGGAGUACCAGAAAAAGAGGAGGAAGAGAAAAUUUAAAAUAUUUGAAGAAGUAAUGGCUGAAAACUUCCCAAAUUUGAUGAAAAACAUUCAUCUACACAUCUAAGAAGCUCAGUGAACUCCAGGUAAGAUAAAUAUGAAGAGAUCCACACCCAUACACAUUGUAGUAAAAUUUUGAAAGUCAAGGACAAAGAGAAAAUAUUGAAAACAGCAAGAGAAAAAUGAUUUGUCAUGUCCAAAGAAACCCUAAUAAAAAUAACAGCUGCCUUCUCAUCAGAAACAAUGGAAGCCAGAAGGCAGAGGGAUGACAUAUUCGAAAUGCUGAGAGAAAAAACUGUCAACCAAAUCUUCUUUCAGCAAAACUAGCUUUCAGAAAUGAAAGUGAAAUAAAGACAUUUCCAAGUACAGUAAGUCCCCUACAUACGAACCAGUCCCGUUCUGAGAGCGCAUUCUUAUGUUCAAUUUGUUCGUAAGUCCAACAAAGUUAGCCUAGGUACCCAACACAAUCGGCUAUGUAGUACUGUACUGUAAUAGGUUAAUAAUACUUUUCACACAAAUAAUACAUAAAAAACAAACACACAAAAUAAAGGAAACAUUUUUAAUGUUACAGUACAGUACUUUGAAAAGUACAGUAGUACAGUACAACAGCUGGCAUACAGGGGCUGGCAUCGAGUGAACAGACAAGAAGAGUUACUGACUGGAGGAGGGAGAGGAGGUGGGAGAUAGUGGAGUUGAAGGAUCAUCGCAAUAGGAGAUGGAGGGCAAGCUGCAAUUUCACUCAUGCCUGACAUUGAUGGAAUGCACGUUCACAUCUUUGAAAGUGUGAAAUUUGAAGGUUCAUAUGUAGGGGACUUACUGUAAACAAAACUUGAGAGAAUUCAUUGCUAGCAGACCUACCUUACAAGAUAUACUAAAGGAAGUUCUUGAGACUGAAAGCAAGUGACCUCAGGCAAUAAUUCGAAACUAUAUGAGAAAACAAAGAGUGUUAAAGACAAUUAGGUAAUUUAUAAGAUAGUAUAUGUGUAUAUUUCUCCUUUUUCUCUUAACUGAUUUAAAAAGCAAUUAUAUAAAACAAUAUGUCUAUAAUUGUAUUGUUGGUUAUAUAACAUAUAGAAAUGCAGUGUAUUUGACAAUAACAGCACAAAGGAGGUGGGUGGAAACAAAUUUGUAUUAGAAUAAAGAAAUGACAACAGAUUGUAAUUUGGAUCCACAGGAACAAAUGAAGAGAGCCAGAAUUGGUAAAUAACAAACUCUAUAAUUAUAUAUCCUCUCCCUUCUUCUCUCAGCUUCUUUAAAAGACACACAAAUAUUAAAAAAGUAAGAAUUAUAAGAAUUUAUUAUUGGAUUUAUAACAUAUAGACAUAUACAAAUACACUGUAUACUAUUUAUUUUAUAAAUUAGUAAUAAUUAAUAAUAAAUAACUAUAAUAACAAUAGCACAAGGAAAAGGGAAUAAAUAUACAGGAGUAUAUAAAUAAAUGUGUAGGAGUAAUAUUUUUACAGCUCACUGGAAUUAAAUUAAAAUAAAUUUGAAUCAGACUCUGAUAAGCACUAAGAAAAUAACUCAAAAAAUAGUGAAAAAAUUAUUAAAGAAAUUAAAAUGUUAUAUCAGAAGGUAUUCACUUAGUAUAAAAUUAAGCAGUAAAGGAAGGAGAAAGGAACAAAAAAGAUGUAAAACAUAUAGAAAACAAAAAAUAAAAUAGGAGACAUAAAUCCAGCUAUAACAAUACAACACUAUACGUGAGUAUAUUACACAAUCUGGUCAAAAGGCAGAGAGGGUCAUACUGAACUAAAAAAACAAGAUCCAACCCUAUGAUAUCUAAAAGAUAAAUAUUUCAGAUUCAAAGAUACUAAUAGAUCGAAAGUAAAAGUAUAGAUGAAGGUCUCUUAUGUAAAAAAACAAAACAAAAGUAAGCUGGAGUGGCUCUACUAAUAACAGACAAAAUAGACUUUAAAACAAAACUUGCAACAAGAGAUAAAGAAGAACAUUUUAUAGUGAUAAAAGGGCCAGUCCAUCAGAAGACAUAACAAUUAUAAACAUAUAAUUGUUAUGUCUGAAAAGACAACACCAACAUGCAUUAAGCUAAAACUGACAGACUUGAAGGGAUAAAUAGACGAUUCAGCAGUAAUACUCAGAGACUUCAAUAUCCCACUCUAAAUAAUGGGUAGUACAACUAGAAAGAAGAUCAGCAAGGAAAUGGAAGAGCUGAAUAACACUAUAAGCCAAACAGACCUAACAGAUAUCUAGGGAACUCUCCACUCAAACAGCAGAAUACAUAUUCUUCUCAAAUUCACAUAGAGCAUCCUCUGAUAUAAACCAUAUGUUAGGCCAUAAAACAAACCUCAAUAAUUGUAAAAAGAUUGAAAUUAUAAAAAGCAUGUUCUCUGACUACAGUGGAAUUCAAUUACAAAUCAAUAACAGAAAGAAAUUUGAGAAUUUUACAAAUAUGUGGAAAAUAGGAGCAUACUUCUAAAAAAGCAAUAGGCCAAAGAAGAAAUCACAAGGCAAAGUAGAAAAUACUUUGAAGUAAAUAAAAAUGAAGACACACCAUAUCAAAAUUGAUGGCAUGCAGCUAAGGCAGUGCUUCAAGGAAAAUUUAUAGCUUCAAAUGUGUCUAUUAUAAGAUAAGAAUGAUUACGAAUCUAUAACACCACUUAUCACCUUAAGACACUGGAAAGGAGUGCAAACCAAAUCUAAAGCAAGCAAAGGAAGAAAAUAAUAGAGAUUAGAGUGAAAUUUAAUGAAAUAAGAGUAGAAAAACAAAGAUAAUAUAAAUGAAACAAAAAGUCAAUUCUUUGAAAUGACAAACAAAAUUGAACAAACUUUUAGCUAGACUGACCAAAAGAAAAGAGAAAGGAGACUCAAAAUACUAAAAUCGGGAAUGAAAGAGAAAACAUCACUACUGAUUUUAGAGAUAUAAAAAGGAUUAUAGGACUUCCCUGGUGGCGCAGUGGUUAAGAAACUGCCUGCCAAUUCAGGGGACACGGGUUCAAGCCCGGGUCCAGGAAGAUCCCACAUGCUGCAGAGCAACUAAGCCCAUGCACCACAACUACUGAGCCCACGAGCCACAACUACUGAGGCUGUGAGCCACAACCACUAAAGCCUGCGCACCUAGAGCCCAUGCUCCGCAACAAGAGAAGCCUCUGCAAGGAGAAUCCUGUGCACUGCAAUGAAGAGCAGCCCCCACUCACUGCAACUAGAGAAAGCCUGUGUGCAGCAAGAAGGACCCAACACAGCCAAAAAUAAAUAAAUAAAUUUUAAAAAAGGAUUAUAAAUGAAUAUUAUGAACAACUUAUACCAGCAAAUUGGAUAAUUUAGAUGAAAUGGACAAAUUCCUAGAAAGACAAAAACUACUAAAACUGAUUCAAGAGGAAAUAGAAAAUAUGAAUAGACCUAUAACAGGAAAUUAAAUUAGUAAUUUUAAAACUUUCAACAAGAAGAGACCAGACCCAGAAUUCACUGGUGAAUUCUACUAAACAUUUGAAGAAGAAUUAAUACCAAUUCUUCACAAACUCUUACAAAAAAUGGAAGAGGGAAAACUUCUUGUCUUCUUCUAUGAGACAAAACCAGACAAAGACAUCACAAGAAAAUAAAAUUAUGAAACAAUAUCUUUUAUGAAUAUAUAUGCAUAAAAACAUCAAAAUAUUAGCAAACUAAAUCUAGCAAGAUGAAAAGAAUUUUCACCACAACCAAGUGGAAUAUUCUCCAGAAAUACAAGGCUCAACAUACAAAAAUUGAUCAAUAUAAUACACCAUGGUAAUAUAAUAAAGGACAAAAACCACACAAUCAUUUCAAUAGAUGAAAAAAAAAUUUGACAAAAUCCAACACCCUUUCAUGAUUAAAAAAAAAGAAAGAAAAAAAAAAACUCAGUAAACUAGGAAUAGAAGGGAACUGCAUCAACCUGAUACAAGGGAUCUAUGAAAAAUCUAUUGCUAACAUCAUACUUAAUGGCAAAAGCCUGAAAACUUCCCCCUACAAUCAGGAACAAGACAAGGAUGUCCACUCUCACCACUUCUAUUCAACAAGGUACUGAAGGUUUUAUCCAGGGCAAUUAGCCAAGAAGAAGAAAUAAAAGACAUUAAAAUUGAAAAGGAAUUUCUAUUUGCAGAGGACAUGAUCUUGAAUAUUGAAAAUCCUAAAAAAUUGCUAGAACCAAUAAACAGGUUCAACAAGUUCAGAGUAUAAUAUCUAUAUACAAAAAUCAACUGUAUAUUUACACAUUAGCAGUGAAUGAUAUGAAGAUGAAAUUAAGAAAACAAUUCCAUUUACUAUAGCAUCAAAAAGAAUAAAAUAUUUAGGAGUAAAUUUUUAAAAAGAAGUUCAAAACUUAUAUUCUGAAUACUCAAACAUUGUUGAAAGAAAUUAAAGAUGACCUAAAUAGAUAGAAAGGUAUUUGUGCUUGUGAAUUGAAGGAAAAUAUUAAGAUAGCAACAUUCUCCAAACUAAUCUACAGAUUAAUACAGUCUUUAUCAAAAUCUCAGCUGGCUUCUUUGCAGAAACUGAUAAACUGAUGAAAAAAUUCAUAUGAAAAUUCAAGAAUCCUGAAUAGCCAAACAAUCUUGAAAAAAAAGCAAAGUUGGGGGCUUCCCUGGUGGUGCAGUGGUUGAGAGUCCACCUGCCGAUGCAGGGGACACGGGUUCGUGCCCCGGUCCGGGAGGAUCCCACAUGCCGCGGAGCGGCUGGGCCUGUGGGCCAUGGCCACUGAGCCUGCGCGUCCGGAGCCUGUGCUCCACAACGGGAGAGGCCACAACAGUGAGAGGCCCGCGUACCACAAAAAAAAACAAAGUUGGAGAACUCACUUCCUGAUUUUAAAACUUACCACAAAUCAAUGGUAAUCAAGACAGUGUGGUACUGGCCCAAGAAUAGACGUACAGAUCAAUGGAAUUGAACUGACAGUCCAGAAAUAAACCCACACAUCUAUGGUCAACUGACUUUCAACAAGGGUGCCAAGACCAUCCAAUGGGGAAAGAAUAGUCUUUUCAACAAAUGGUUCUGGGACAACUGAGUAUCCACAUGUGAAGGAUGAAGUUGAAUCCUUAUCUCACACCAUAUACAAAAAUUAACUCAAAAUGGAUCAAAGACCUAAAUGUAAGACCUAAAACUAAAAAACUCAUAGAAGAAAAUUUAGGGUAAACCUUCAUGACCAUGAAUUUGGCAAAGUAUUCUUAGAAAUGACACUAAAAGCAUGACCAACAAAAGGAAAAAUAGAUACAUUAAUCAAAAUUAAAAUCCUUUUUGCUUCAAAGAA